rnacentral:rRNA from 1 species
CGAAACAGCCCCGCAGCUGACGCAGCGACGCCGCGUGAGAGACGAUGGCUUCGGGUGUAAAUCUAGCAGACGGGGGACGAAUGGAGUGACGGCCCGGAGGUGGAAGACCGGAGUAUCUGCGUGCCAGCACGCGCGGUUUCUCGGUGAUAGCUGUAGCGGUUUUUAUCGUUUUCCUCAAAUUAGAGAGAGUCCCCCAUU